UGGGUUUGAGAUUGAUUUCAAUGGAUGGAUUCGUUAUAGGACCUCAAAGAAACAUAUAUGCCAAGUGGUUUGGACAUAUUCCUCGUGAGCACAUAGAUCCACCACUUGGGGGAAAAAUUAGAGAAAUGCCAACCCUUUUGAUGAAUUUUUUGAUGUGGGUUGAUUCCUUGACUUCUCAGUGAUGACCUUUAGCUGAUCUGAUAUGUACUUAUAUGGAUCAAAUUAAAACACAUGCAUAGGUUGAAAACAAUCAUGUCUCUGUGUAGUGACCACAGAUCGAGACAUCAUGCAUUGGAUGGAUGAUUUCUAAAGAAGAACUUACACAUACACAUGUGUACCAC
rnacentral:lncRNA from 1 species